ACGUAGGGGGCGAGCGUUGUUCGGAAUUAUUGGGCGUAAAGGGCGUGUAGGCGGUUUGGUAAGCCUGGUGUAAAAGGCGUACGCUUAACGUACGUAGGUCGCUGGGGACUGUCAGACUAGAGUGUAGGAAGGGGAGGUGGAAUUCCAGGUGUAGGGGUGAAAUCUUUUAAUCUCGGGAGGACCACCGAUGGCGAAGGCAAGCAUCUGGAACUACCCUGACGCUGAGGAGCGAAAGCGUGGGGCGCGAACCG
rnacentral:rRNA from 1 species